AUUGAACGCCGGCGGCAUGCCUUACACAUGCAAGUCGAACGGCAGCACGGGAGCAAUCCUGGUGGCGAGUGGCGAACGGGUGAGUAAUAUAUCGGAACGUGCCCAGUCGUGGGGGAUAACGCAGCGAAAGCUGUGCUAAUACCGCAUACGAUCUACGGAUGAAAGCGGGGGAUCGCAAGACCUCGCGCGAUUGGAGCGGCCGAUAUCAGAUUAGCUAGUUGGUGAGGUAAAGGCUCACCAAGGCGACGAUCUGUAGCUGGUCUGAGAGGACGACCAGCCACACUGGAACUGAGACACGGUCCAGACUUCUACGGGAGGCAGCAGUGGGGAAUUUUGGACAAUGGGCGCAAGCCUGAUCCAGCAAUGCCGCGUGCAGGAUGAAGGCCUUCGGGUUGUAAACUGCUUUUGUACGGAGCGAAACGGCGAGCUCUAAUACAGUUUGCUAAUGACGGUACCGUAAGAAUAAGCACCGGCUAACUACGUGCCAGCCGCCGCCGUAACAC
rnacentral:rRNA from 1 species